UGGUAGUGCUAAACCACUACGGAUGCAAUAUACUUUCGGCCGCUAGAGCUCUCGUGGCGCUCUUCCAUGUUUUGGCACCCCGGGAAAUUUGAAUUCGCAGAAGAAGAAGAAGAAAACACACAGCGGCGAUCUGCCUCGGUAGUUUAAUUAAACGCAUUCCCAGCGCAUCUAUCAAAGUUCUUGUAGAGGCCACUGUUUGUACACGUCCUAUGCCCUUGCUAUCAUCUUUUCCUGGUAUCCAAGCAGAUCCUCAGACAGAUACAGGAACUACAUAUAUGCCACCUCUGCCUAUGCUGGCCUUGCAUGCGACCCGUACUGGACCUGUGAAGACUGAUGGCAGGGGGUUUGUACUGGACCACAAACGCAGAGCCCAUUGACAACUUGCUUAAUAAACACCAUGGGAAGAAGGACAUCCUCGGGACUAUGCAGCAAUGGUCCACAAUUCCUCUACUGAUCCAAACAGCAUGCUCCAUUCGACCACAAAACUACACAUUUCACAGUAUGACAAGCACCUGGCCAAACUGCUGAACACCAGUUCAGCCUUAAACAACUCCAGAGAAACGUCUUUAAAGCAGGUAGUAAAACAACCAGAGCGCCAGUGGUAACAAUGAAGCCUGUGGAUGUAAACCCACCAGCACCUGCUCUGACCACACUCCUAACUCAUGACACCAUUGAGAGAAUUGUAUUAUGGAGCGCCAGCAGCAACCGGAGCAGGAGAAGAAACAAACAAACAAAGACUUGUCUUGCUUGUGGACAGCCAAAGAUGGUUCCUCUAUCCACUUUUGUUUUAAUCAGCAAGGCCCUGUCAGGUACUUCUACUGUUCCACAAAGGUUUUUAAUGCUUCCAGUGAUUAAGGACUAACAAACCCCAGAAUGCCAUUCCAAGACUUUAUGGAAAUGGAGUUUUUUAAGAGUGAACUUGAGGACACAAAGAAACUGGUGGAGGAGAGAGGACAGCAAAAAUGCAAGUUGGUUGCUUGUGCAGAUUUUGUAAAAUAGACCUGAAGCAGGGUCCAAACAGUCCUCACAUACACACAGGCUUUCCUGGCGUAGCAGGGAAAUAUGGUCAUUGCCCUGCUAAAGUCUUUUCCAUUUACCAACCUCAGGGCAUGCAGAAAGAGAUGACCUGGAAAGAGUUUAAAGAGUCUGCAUUUUUUGAGAACAAAUGGGCAGAAAAAAAAGAAAUGCAUGUUUAUUUUUCAGUGUGAGAUUAUUAUAUGUAU